AUUACUUAGUUGCCAACCCAAUAGUUGUCGAGUUUGCGUCGAGGUCGUCUCGAGGUUACAGCUGAUCUUUGGCGAUCGAGUGAAAAAUAAUAAUAAUUGAAUAGCAAGAAAUGUGUUCAGAAAUGCGUCGAGGUCGUGUCGAGGUCGUCUCGAGGUUACAGGCGAUGUUCGGCGAUCGAAUGAAAUAAACAACUGUCGCGUUGGGAACGAUGGAAUGGCAAGAAAUAUCUUGAAAAAUUUGUUUCGAACAUUGUUAGGAAAUAUCUAGGGAAAAAUUAGCUCAGAAUUUUGUUGCAAAUAUCGUCGAUGUUGUUGCGAAAAUGAGAUCCGCCGUUCGGGGGACAAGCAGCGUUGAAUCGAAGGCGCGAGCAACUUCCAACGCGGCCGGUGGACCAUUAUCGAACCGAUCAUACUAAUGCGCAUAAAUAGCGAGUGUCUGGCUCAAUAGUUGAUUUCGCUUUGUCGCGACGCGCUCUCCGCGUCGAUCGAAGCUGCCGCGAUUAUUAUUGCACCGCCGAUCUUAUUUGACCCGCUAAGAAUCGAUCACGCGCGGCUGACGCGUUAAGUCCGGCCGAGAUUGCGACAAGUUUUCGAACCCGGCGAGAAAAUUACUUUUCCGUCGCUCGAAUGUAUACAGGGUGUCCUGUGCGAAGUAACGAGCUUCGAUGACCAAAGUGUUCGGGUCAAAAAUAACCUUGAAACGCGCUAUUCGCUUGCAUUGAAGAAAAUAUAGAGUUCCGUUGA